rnacentral:rRNA from 1 species
GUCGAACGAACUUAAUACAUUCUUUUAGAUUGUAAGCGGUUAGUGGCGGACUGGUGAGUAACGCGUGAGUAACCUGCCUAUUAGAGGGGAAUAACAGUGAGAAAUCAUUGCUAAUACCGCAUAUGCUCACAGUAUCGCAUGAUACAGUGAGGAAAGGAGCAAUCCACUAAUAGAUGGACUCGCGUCUGAUUAGCUAGUUGGUGAGGUAGAGGCUUACCAAGGCGACGAUCAGUAGCCGGACUGAGAGGUUGAACGGCCACAUUGGGACUGAGAUACGGCCCAGACUCCUACGGGAGGCAGCAGUCGGGAAUAUUGCGCAAUGGAGGAAACUCUGACGCAGUGACGCCGCGUAUAGGAAGAAGGUUUUCGGAUUGUAAACUAUUGUCGUUAGGGAAGAAAAAAGGCAGUACCUAAGGAGGAAGCCCCGGCUAACUAUGUGCCAGCAGCCGCGGUAAUACAUAGGGGGCAAGCGUUAUCCGGAAUUAUUGGGUGUAAAGGGUGCGUAGACGGGUGUCUAAGUUGGUUGUGAAAUCCCUCGGCUCAACUGAGGAACUGCAACCAAAACUGGAUAUCUUGAGUGUCGGAGAGGAAAGUGGAAUUCCUAGUGUAGCGGUGAAAUGCGUAGAUAUUAGGAGGAACACCAGUGGCGAAGGCGACUUUCUGGACGAUAACUGACGUUGAGGCACGAAAGUGUGGGGAGCAAACAGGAUUAGAUACCCUGGUAGUCCACACUGUAAACGAUGGAUACUAGGUGUAGGGUGUUUAAGCAC